rnacentral:rRNA from 1 species
GACAGAGGGUGCAAACGUUGUUCGGAAUUACUGGGCGUAAAGCGUGUGUAGGCGGUCCACUAAGUCGGGUGUGAAAGCCCUGGGCUCAACCCAGGAAGUGCACUCGAAACUGGCGGGCUAGAGUAUCGGAGAGGUUGGUGGAAUUCUCGGUGUAGAGGUGAAAUUCGUAGAUAUCGAGAGGAACACCUGCGGCGAAGGCGGGUUGCUGGGCUGACACUGACGCUGAAGCGCGAAAGCUAGGGGAGCGAACGGG